rnacentral:rRNA from 1 species
UACGUAGGGGGCAAGCGUUGUCCGGAAUCAUUGGGCGUAAAGCGCGUGUAGGCGGUCCGAUAAGUCGGUUGUGAAAGUCAAGGGCUCAACCCUUGAAUGCCGACCGAUACUGUCGGGCUAGAGUCCGGAAGAGGCGAGUGGAAUUCCUGGUGUAGCGGUGAAAUGCGCAGAUAUCAGGAGGAACACCAAUGGCGAAGGCGACUCUUUGGCCUGUAACUGACGCUGAGGCGCGAAAGCGUGGGGAGCAAACAGG